GAACGCUAGCGGCAGGCUUAACACAUGCAAGUCGAGGGGUAGAAGCAGCUUGCUGCUUUGAGACCGGCGCACGGGUGCGUAACGCGUAUGCAACCUACCUUAUACAGGGGAAUAGCCCAGAGAAAUUUGGAUUAAUGCCCCAUAGUAUUAUUGAAUGGCAUCAUUUGAUAAUUAAAGUUCCAACGGUAUAAGAUGAGCAUGCGUCCCAUUAGUUAGUUGGUAAGGUAACGGCUUACCAAGACAAUGAUGGGUAGGGGUCCUGAGAGGGAGAUCCCCCACACUGGUACUGAGACACGGACCAGACUCCUACGGGAGGCAGCAGUGAGGAAUAUUGGUCAAUGGGCGCAAGCCUGAACCAGCCAUGCCGCGUGCAGGAAGAAGCAUCUAUGGUGUGUAAACUGCUUUUAUACAGGAAGAAACAACUCUACGUGUAGAGUCUUGACGGUACUGUAAGAAUAAGGACCGGCUAACUCCGUG
rnacentral:rRNA from 1 species